rnacentral:tRNA from 1 species
UUUUAUAUAGGUUAAAUUAAACCUUUAUAUUUUCAAUAUAAUAAUAAUAUAAUAAUAUAAUAUUUAUAAAAU